rnacentral:rRNA from 1 species
AGAGUUUGAUCCUGGCUCAGAGCGAACGCUGGCGGCAGGCCUAACACAUGCAAGUCGAGCGCCGUAGCAAUACGGAGCGGCAGACGGGAGAGUAACACGUGGGAACGUGCCCUUCAGUUCGGAACAACCCAGGGAAACUUGGGCUAAUACCGGAUACGUCCGUAAGGAGAAAGAUUUAUCGCUGAAGGAUCGGCCCGCGUCUGAUUAGCUAGUUGGUGAGGUAACGGCUCACCAAGGCGACGAUCGGUAGCUGGUCUGAGAGGAUGAUCAGCCUCACUGGGACUGAGACACGGCCCAGACUCCUACGGGAGGCAGCAGUGGGGAAUAUUGGACAAUGGGCGCAAGCCUGAUCCAGCCAUGCCGCGUGGAUGAUGAAGGCCCUAGGGUUGUAAAGUCCUUUCGGCGGGGAAGAUAAUGACGGUACCCGCAGAAGAAGCCCCGGCUAACUUCGUGCCAGCAGCCGCGGUAAUACGAAGGGGGCUAGCGUUGCUCGGAAUCACUGGGCGUAAAGCGCACGUAGGCGGCUUUUUAAGUCAGGGGUGAAAUCCUGGAGCUCAACUCCAGAACUGCCUUUGAUACUGAGAAGCUUGAGUCCGGGAGAGGUGAGUGGAACUGCGAGUGUAGAGGUGAAAUUCGUAGAUAUUCGCAAGAACACCAGUGGCGAAGGCGGCUCACUGGCCCGGUACUGACGCUGAGAUGCGAAAGCGUGGGGAGCAAACAGGAUUAGAUACCCUAGUAGUCC